GACGAACGCUGGCGGCGUGCUUAACACAUGCAAGUCGAACGGAAAGGCCCCUUUGGGGGUACUCGAGUGGCGAACGGGUGAGUAACACGUGAGUAGCCUGCCCUUGACUUCGGGAUAACUUCAGGAAACUGGGGCUAAUACCGGAUAGGAAUCCUUGCUGCAUGGUGGGGGUUGGAAAGCUUCGGCGGUUUUGGAUGGACUCGCGGCUUAUCAGCUUGUUGGUGGGGUAGUGGCUUACCAAGGCUUUGACGGGUAGCCGGCCUGAGAGGGCGACCGGCCACAUUGGGACUGAGAUACGGCCCAGACUCCUACGGGAGGCAGCAGUGGGGAAUAUUGCACAAUGGGCGGAAGCCUGAUGCAGCAACGCCGCGUGCGGGAUGACGGCCUUCGGGUUGGAAACCGCUUUCAGCAGGGGCGAAGCUUGUGGUGACGGUACCUGCAGAAGAAGCACCGGCUAACUACGUG
rnacentral:rRNA from 1 species